rnacentral:lncRNA from 1 species
CACUGCAUGCAUCUCCAAAUCAUGUGUAUGAUAGUUUUGCUUGUGCUUUUCAAUUGAGUCGAAGCAUAAGCAAUAACACGACCAUUUUGCAUGAGAAAACAUCUUAAUCCCACCAUCGAGGCGUCACAGAAUACUAUAAAUCCUCCAUAACCUGAUGGUAAAGCUAAUAUUGGUGCAUUUGUCAAACAUGUUUUGCGUUUUUGAAAGCUCUGCUCACAUUCCUCCGUCCACUGAAACUUUGCAAUUUUCUGUGUUAGCUUGG